rnacentral:rRNA from 1 species
CAGUCGCCGCGGGAACACGUAGGGUGCAAGCGUUAAUCGGAAUUACUGGGCGUAAAGCGUGCGCAGGCGGUUAUAUAAGACAGAUGUGAAAUCCCCGGGCUCAACCUGGGAACUGCAUUUGUGACUGUAUAGCUUGAGUACGGCAGAGGGGGAUGGAAUUCCGCGUGUAGCAGUGAAAUGCGUAGAUAUGCGGAGGAACACCGAUGGCGAAGGCAAUCCCCUGGGCCUGUACUGACGCUCAUGCACGAAAGCGUGGGGAGCAAACAGGAUUAGAUACCCCUGUAGUCCCUGUCUCUUAUAC